rnacentral:tRNA from 1 species
UUAUUUUGGCAGAUUAGUGCAUUAAAUUUAGAAUUUAAAUAAGUAUUYWAUACAAAUAAUA